UACGUAGGGGGCAAGCGUUGUCCGGAUUUAUUGGGCGUAAAGAGCGUGUAGGCGGCUUGGUAGGUCCGCUGUGAAAACUCGAGGCUCAACCUCGAGAUGUCGGCGGAAACCACUUGGCUAGAGUCCGGAAGAGGAGAGUGGAAUUCCUGGUGUAGCGGUGAAAUGCGCAGAUAUCGGGAAGAACACCCGUGGCGAAGGCAGCUCUCUGGGACGGUACUGACGCUGAGACGCGAAAGCGUGGGGAGCGAACAGG
rnacentral:rRNA from 1 species